rnacentral:lncRNA from 1 species
CCAACCUGUCAUUGACUUCAUGUUCAUUCUGGCAAGAGCUAAGAGAGAUACUAUUGAGUAUUUUAACACAGACUUCACUUGCUUGGGUGAACUGUAGACAGAAUCCAUCUUUAAUGACCUAUUUCUGUUACUGAACUGAACUGGUGUCUGCUCUCCUGUGGGGUGAGGCCAAACAUCCACACCGUGGUUUGCAGCAGGGGAAAGCAAGGUGUUUAUUUGCAGGAUGCCAAGGAAAGAGAAUUGGGCAGCUUACAAUUGAGACCUGACCUCUCGGUGGCUUACAGGUUCUCUCUGCAGCUCUAGCACCUGGCAUCCUCAGACAUCUUCUUAAUACUCACGCAAGUUCUACAGAUGAGAAAAUGAGGCUUCAAAAGAUGAAGACCACACGAUGACUGAAUGGAUGGUGCUGAGUUAUAAUAGCAGUAUCUGUCAUGUAUGGGUUGCUUCCUAUGGGAUAAGCACAAUGAUGCCAUUUCAUUUUAUCCACUCAAUGGCAUACACUGGGAUAGCAUAACAAUAGAACACAUGGGACUCUGAAUUCUGCAGGCUAGGUUUAAUUCUGUUUCUGCUACAUAAUAGCAAAAGAGUUCAUCUUGAUUCUGCUACAUAAUAGCAAAACAGUUCAUCUUGAUUCUGCUACAUAAUAGCAAAACAGUUCAUCUUGCUUUAAGUCAUAAGUCACGGCUCCGAAAAGGACACCCCAAGUAUGGCCUUGACCUGCUGAGGACUUUGAACUAAAGGGCAUUGGAAAGCCUCAGAAGCAGCCUCAGAACCAAGUCUCUGACCUUCUCCUGCCCUCCUGUCUCUCGCCCCUCAUUCCCCCAAGAAGUGAGUCAUAGAAACCAGAAAUCCUCUUCCCUAAAGCAGGUCACGGAAACUAGAAUCUCUUUCCCCAAAGCCAGCCAUUAGAAACUAGAAUCACUACUGGAACUUUCCCUGCCUUUCUGAGUAAGAGCUGGCCAUAAAGAAGUUCUCUGACUUACUUUCCUGAAAGUAGGUUAUAAGACCCUCAUUCCAGAAGGGGCCCUGCCCUACACGCAGGAAGAAGGAACGCCACACAGGGAGGCCAAGAGGAACCCAGACAGGCCCAGCUGGGUCCCCCUCUGUCUGUCACUGUCCCAUCGCUCCCUCUGUGUCCAGUCACAGCUCCGCAGGGCUACCACUCUUCAUCAAAUCUAAGCAUAGAAAUGGGCAGUUUUCCCUUGGUUCUUUGGGUCUUCAUUUCCUAAGGCUCCCAUGUUAUGUAAAACUUUGAUUAAACAAAUCUGUGUGCUUUUCUCUUGUUAACCUGUCUUUUGUUACAGGAGAAUCGGCAGUGGCCCCUUAGCAUGGUGGCACACGUCUGUAAUCCCAGGUACUUGGGAGGCUGAGGCACGAGAAUCACUAGAACCUAGAAGGAGGAUGUUGCAGUGAGCUGAGAUUGCACCACUGCACUCCAGCCUGGGCAACAGAGCAAGACUCCCAUCUCAAAAAAAAAAUUAAAUUAAA